UCCCCGGGGGCCGCACCGCAAACCCCGGCCCCUGCGCCCAGCGGGCAGGCGGCCGGGCCGGCCCCGCAUCUGAGCACCGCAAGUGCUUCCACAGCAGGCGGGGCCGUGAGACGAGGAGAUUUUCUACGGCGCGUGGCUCCGUGUCUCUGUAAACAGCAGCGGGUAGAAGGCUCUCAGCCGGUUGGGAAAUCUGAAGCCUGGAAAGGUCUUUUUCCCCAGUCUUCUGUUUCCUUAGAAAAAACCUGUAGGACACAAAGUGAGAUGUUUGUGGGGGACACACCGUGCCUGGAGACCCAGCUGUGUGUGGCCAGGAUGGGUGACUCUGGCUCGCACGUGCCUUUGUUUCAGGGACCAGCACUACACGGAUAAUGUCACCUAUUUGGGCAUGGGACGUGCACGGAGCUGCCAGGGGACGUGCCCACCGCUGGGCAGAGCUGUGGCACGCAGCGCUGCUGGGUGCCGCAGUACAGCACCAAACGUCUUGCUGGGGAGGGCUUUGGCCAGGUUCCGCCUGAGUUAAACCUGCCCUUGCCCAUCCGAGGCCGGCCGCGCUCUCCCACUGCCCUGACGCCCCGGGCUGCGGUACAGCGAUGGGCACCGGCGAGUUAUGGUGCAUUGGACCAAAUUUUAUGAUGUUUGCAAGUCAAAAAAAACGAGGCCACGCAUCCUCCCAGAAGCGCUGAAA